rnacentral:rRNA from 1 species
AUGAGUGGACCUGAUGGGAUCAACAUCCCCGAUGGCAAGUUCUACAUUGGAGAUGCUGGCUAUGCAUGUCGGUCGGGUAUUCUUCCACCCUUCAGGAAAAUAAGGUACCAUCUCAAUGAGUUCUCUAGUAGGAGCUAUCCUAGGACUGCACAAGAGCUGUUUAAUCUCAGACACUCCAGCCUUAGAGUAACUGUUGAGAGGGCAUUUGGAGCUCUGAAGAAUAUGUUUAAGAUCCUGGAUCAGAAGCCAUUCCACCCAUACUCCACUCAGGUUAACCUAGUUCUUGCUUGCAUUCUGCAUAACUGGAUCCUCUAGUGGGGCUUUGAUGAACACGUGCCUGAGGAGGAAGAUGUCGAGCCUGACGAUGUUGUUAGCUCUGGCCAUGGUGUGGAGGCAUUUGACAAUGACGCUUGGAAGACCAAAAGGUUGGAGUGGGCAGAGGCGAUGUGGCUUAACAGAGGUCAGUGCAGGAUUUGA